rnacentral:sRNA from 1 species
CCUCCAGCUUAGCCCUGCUUCCUCCCACCCCCCCAGAACUCAACUUUGGGGCCAUCACUCUCAACAGCAUGGAUGCCACUAGUGAGCGGGACUUUGUGGCCGAGUUCCUGUUCUGGGCUUCGCUGUGCAUGACCCAUCUCAGCAGGAUGGCCGAGGACCUCAUCCUCUACUGCACCAAGGAAUUCAGCUUCGUGCAGCUCUCAGAUGCCUACAGCACGGGAAGCAGCCUGAUGCCCCAGAAGAAAAACCCCGACAGUUUGGAGCUGAUCCGGAGCAAGGCUGGGCGUGUGUUUGGGCGGGUGAGCAAGGCGGGGGAGGGGCGGGGCCUCUGGGCUGAUGGUGGGUGGCCAGCGGGGCAGGAUCCCGGGUCCAGCCCCUGUGCCUCCCUCUUCCCGCAGUGUGCCGGGCUCCUGAUGACCCUCAAGGGACUUCCCAGCACCUACAACAAAGACUUACAGGAGGACAAGGAAGCUGUGUUUGAAGUGUCAGACACUAUGAGUGCCGUGCUCCAGGUGGCCACUGGCGUCAUCUCUACGCUGCAGAUUCACCAAGAGAACAUGGGACAGGCUCUCAGCCCCGACAUGCUGGCCACUGACCUUGCCUAUUACCUGGUCCGCAAAGGGAUGCCAUUCCGCCAGGCCCACGAGGCCUCCGGGAAAGCUGUGUUCAUGGCCGAGACCAAGGGGGUCGCCCUCAACCAGCUGUCACUGCAGGAGCUGCAGACCAUCAGCCCCCUGUUCUCGGGCGACGUGAGCUGCGUGUGGGACUACGGGCACAGUGUGGAGCAGUAUGGUGCCCUGGGCGGCACUGCGCGCUCCAGCGUCGACUGGCAGAUCCGCCAGGUGCGGGCGCUACUGCAGGCACAGCAGGCCUAGGUCCUCCCA